rnacentral:rRNA from 1 species
CGGGACGGGUGAGUAAUGUCUGGGAAACUGCCUGAUGGAGGGGGGUAAUUACUGGAAACGGUAGCUAAUACCGCAUAACGUCGCAAGACCAAAGAGGGGGACCUUCGGGCCUCUUGCCAUCGGAUGUGCCCAGAUGGGAUUAGCUAGUAGGUGGGGUAACGGCUCACCUAGGCGACGAUCCCUAGCUGGUCUGAGAGGAUGACCAGCCACACUGGAACUGAGACACGGUCCAG